CCUACGGGUGGCAGCAGUGGGGGAUAUUGCACAAUGGGGGGAACCCUGAUGCAGCGACGCCGCGUGGGUGAAGAAGGGCCUCGGCGCGUAAAGCCCUUUCAGCAGGGAAGAAAAUGACGGUACCUGAAGAAGAAGCCCCGGCUAACUACGUGCCAGCAGCCGCGGUAAUACGGAGGAUGCGAGCGUUACCGGGAUUUAUUGGGUUUAAAGGGGGCGUAGGCGGAUCGUUAAGUCCGGGGUAAAAUUGCGGGGUUCAACCCCGACCCGCCAUUGAAACUGGCGUUCUUGAGUGUGAGAGAGGUAGGCGGAAUGCGUGGUGUAGCGGUGAAAUGCAUAGAUAUCACGCAGAACCCCGAUUGCGAAGGCAGCAUGCCGGCUUCCGACUGACGCUGAAGCACGAAAGCGUGGGGAUCGAACAGGAUUAGAUACCCGGGUAGUC
rnacentral:rRNA from 1 species